rnacentral:tRNA from 1 species
ACUGGGAUAGCUCAGUUGGUAGAGCAUGAGACUCUUAAUCUUGGGGUUGUGGGUUUGAGCCCCACGCUGGGCA